AUGUCACACCGAGUUAAUCCUAAGGGCCUUUGGGACAAUCUAUUUUAUUACAAGGUUUUGUUCCGAAGCAAAGAUAUCCACGGAGGCCGGUUUGUUCGUCCUAUUCUGAUAUUCAGGACCAAGAUGUACUGGAUUCUCUUUCCGAUAGACCAUGAAAGGAGAAAAGAGGCUCAAAUGCCAACGGACCUCUGUCUAUUCUCUAAUUCACCCAAUCAAAUAGUACUCGUUUUUGGAACGUCUAGUGCCUUGGAUUGUUGA
rnacentral:rRNA from 1 species